UACGUAGGGGGCAAGCGUUAUCCGGAUUUACUGGGCGUAAAGGGGGCGCAGACGGCGAUGCAAGCCAGGAGUGAAAGCCCGGGGCCCAACCCCGGGACUGCUCUUGGAACUGCGUGGCUGGAGUGCAGGAGGGGCAGGCGGAAUUCCUGGUGUAGCGGUGAAAUGCGUAGAUAUCAGGAGGAACACCGGUGGCGAAGGCGGCCUGCUGGACUGCAACUGACGUUGAGGCCCGAAAGCGUGGGGAGCAAACAGG
rnacentral:rRNA from 1 species